UCCGACACUCACCAAAGCCCACAAACUUGUCCUUGCAAUUUAAAACAAAUAUUUGUCUAACUAUUCACAACUCACCAAACGCGUCUUUGUGUAGAUAAGCUGAUAAGGUGAAAUCAAGGGCAAAGCCCUCUCCUCAGAAACAAAACGCUAAUUCCUCUCUCUCUCUCUCUCUCUCUCUCUCUCUCUCUCUCUCUCUCUCUCUCUCUCUCUCUCUCUCCUUCUCCUUCCUGUAUCUCUCGAUCUCUCAAUCUCUCAAUCUCCUUCUCCUUCCUGUAUCUCUCGAUCUCUCAAUCUCUCAAUCAUGAACAAGGUAGUAGAUCCAAAAUCCAUGCAGAUCCCCCACUAUCGAUUUUGGAUCUGCUCCGAUGGUGAAGUUUCUGCUGGAGCAUCUGGAGAAAUCAAUUUUCGAUCUGCUCCGACGGUGAAGUUUCUGCUGGAGCAUCAGUCUUAAUCGAGUUUGGAUCUGCUCCGAUGGUGAAGUUUAUGUUGGAGCAUCUGGAGAAAUCGGUGUGGGAUAUUAGACGGGUCUUGCUGGGCCGUUCAUUGCGAGAAGAAGAUUGUCGGAGUAUACACCCGCCACGGAUGGAUUGUGUUCGACGGAAUUUUGUAUCGUUUCACUGCCAUUGUUCUUCUGUCUGUUGAUUAACAUUAUCUUCAUCUCUUAUUGUUAUUCAGGCACUGGGAACAGUGUGCUAUCAGCUUCUGUUACUUUGGAUUCAGUGAGUAAUUUCAGUAUUAUAUGGUUCGGUUCUUAAGAUUUGUUCAUAUCCUGCAUUUCUGCUUUAUCUAGAUCAACGGAAAAAAGAAACAAUGAAUGGAAGACAAGUAGCCUGUUGCUCAAAACAUAAGGGUAGAUCAUCAUCCUGGUGGUGGGCAUUGGUUUGCUGCGGGUCUCUCUCCUAAUAUUCCAAGCAGAAACAGGGUCUCCAUGCAUAGCAGCCCACAUUUUCAGGAUUGAAGGAGCGUCUUGGAGAAUAUUACUUGCAGUCAUGACUAUGAUCUAUGAAUUGUAGAUGUGAUCUUUGUUUAUGUGGCUUGUUUAUGUAGUCAUCCAUGGAGAAGUGGAAGUUGCAGAUAUCAUGCCUAGAUUUGUUUAUUUUUUCUUUCACAAAAGUGAUUUGAUAACAACUAUUGAGGUUGUAUAUUAAUUUUCAUUUUUUUUUUAAAUUUGAAAUAUUGCAGUCACCAUUGUUAGAUAGUGUGUUUUCUGAUGAUGGGGCCCACAGUUUGAAAGUCACCAAAAAAUGAUAGUGCAUUUUUGAGUCUUUGUCACGCCAACAAUGGCUACCCUUCAAAUUUUGGUGUCUAAGAUGGUGACUAUUGCCAUUACACACCAAUCAUUGUUGUCUUUUACUUCAAUCCACACCAUUAUGAAUGGUGUUUA